CCCAUAUCCCGGAUAUCUCCUCGGUGACCUCUGGAGCGCUGCCAGAUUGAGGCCAGCACACUUCAACACCAAUCAAGCCAAGAGCCAUGACACCCACAGGAUCAGAGAACUCCCAUAUCCACCGACCUUGACCAGGGAACCUCAUCAAUACACUUCAAACAUCGAUCCGUUCUCAAGAUGCUGUCUCCAUUACUGCGAUUCAUCACAGUGCUCUCGGCAGACCAUCAGUCAGACACGCAGAUGUCAGGAGAAUGUGUCGUCGUCUCUUUCUCUCUCUCUUUCUUUCUUUCUUUUCUUUCUUU